CAGUUGAAACUGGCAGUCUUGAGUACAGUAGAGGUGGGCGGAAUUCGUGGUGUAGCGGUGAAAUGCUUAGAUAUCACGAAGAACUCCGAUUGCGAAGGCAGCUCACUAGACUGCAACUGACACUGAUGCUCGAAAGUGUGGGUAUCAAACAGGAUUAGAUACCCUGGUAGUCCACACAGUAAACGAUGAAUACUCGCUGUUUGCGAUAUACAGUAAGCGGCCAAGCGAAAGCAUUAAGUAUUCCACCUGGGGAGUACGCCGGCAACGGUGAAACUCAAAGGAAUUGACGGGGGCCCGCACAAGCGGAGGAACAUGUGGUUUAAUUCGAUGAUACGCGAGGAACCUUACCCGGGCUUAAAUUGCAUUUGAAUAAUCUGGAAACAGGUUAGCCGCAAGGCAAAUGUGAAGGUGCUGCAUGGUUGUCGUCAGCUCGUGCCGUGAGGUGUCGGCUUAAGUGCCAUAACGAGCGCAACCCUUAUCUUUAGUUACUAACAGGUUAUGCUGAGGACUCUAGAGAGACUGCCGUCGUAAGAUGUGAGGAAGGUGGGGAUGACGUCAAAUCAGCACGGCCCUUACGUCCGGGGCUACACACGUGUUACAAUGGGGGGUACAGAAGGCAGCUACCUGGCGACAGGAUGCUAAUCCCAAAAACCUCUCUCAGUUCGGAUCGAAGUCUGCAACCCGACUUCGUGAAGCUGGAUUCGCUAGUAAUCGCGCAUCAGCCAUGGCGCGGUGAAUACGUUCCCGGGCCUUGUACACGCCGCCCGUCAAGCCAUG
rnacentral:rRNA from 1 species